UACGGCGGGUGCAAGCGUUGUCCGGAAUCACUGGGCGUAAAGGGCGCGUAGGCGGCUCAUGAAGGCUGUGGUGAAAGUCCGGGGCUCAACCUCGGAUCGGCCGUGGCGACUCGUGGGCUGGAGCACUGUAGAGGCGGGUGGAAUUCCGGGUGUAGCGGUGGAAUGCGUAGAGAUCCGGAAGAACACCAGUGGCGAAGGCGGCCCGCUGGGCAGUGGCUGACGCUGAGGCGCGACAGCGUGGGGAGCAAACAGG
rnacentral:rRNA from 1 species